rnacentral:lncRNA from 1 species
AAGCCUUUGAUAAAGCCGAAGGCUAUAUCGUGGUGGAGGAAGCCAUGAGUAGCCUCAAGCGUCCUUCUUCAGAUCGGCUUAAGGAGAUAGAUCGGGACAAAACCGAUGGAGACCAGAGGAAGAAUGAAGGGAAUAAGGACCGUAAUGAAGGCGGGUCGAAGAGAUACAAUAAUUGGAGGCAGGGUGGAGGACGUUCGUCCGCUCCAACCCAGAGAGUAAAU